GAUGAACGCUGGCGGCGUGCCUAAUACAUGCAAGUCGAGCGAACAGACGAGGAGCUUGCUCCUCUGACGUUAGCGGCGGACGGGUGAGUAACACGUGGAUAACCUACCUAUAAGACUGGGAUAACUUCGGGAAACCGGAGCUAAUACCGGAUAAUACAUUGAACCGCAUGGUUCAAUAGUGAAAGACGGUUUUGCUGUCACUUAUAGAUGGAUCCGCGCCGCAUUAGCUAGUUGGUAAGGUAACGGCUUACCAAGGCAACGAUGCGUAGCCGACCUGAGAGGGUGAUCGGCCACACUGGAACUGAGACACGGUCCAGACUCCUACGGGAGGCAGCAGUAGGGAAUCUUCCGCAAUGGGCGAAAGCCUGACGGAGCAACGCCGCGUGAGUGAUGAAGGUCUUCGGAUCGUAAAACUCUGUUAUUAGGGAAGAACAAAUGUGUGAGUAACUAUGCACGUCUUGACGGUACCUAAUCAGAAAGCCACGGCUAACUACGUG
rnacentral:rRNA from 1 species